rnacentral:rRNA from 1 species
GGUCAAGCACGCAGCCCGUCGCACAGGCAAAUCCGUGCGGCGUGUGGGCGAGGUGCGAUGAUAGGGCCCUUUUGGGCCGAUAUCCGGUGAUCCCUGCCGUCGAGAAAAGCUUCGGCGCGAGGGCCAAUGCCGCCCGUACCCCAAACCGACACUGGUGGUCAGGUAGAGAAUACCAAGGCGAUCGAGCGAAUCCUGGUCAAGGAACUCGGCAAAUUGCUCCCGUUCCUUCGGUUUAAGGGAGACCCCCUGCUGUGAACGGGCUUGCCCCGGGAGCGGCGGGGGGUGGCACAGGCCAGGGGGUAGCGACUGUUUACCAAAAACACAGGUGCAUGCGAAGGCGAAAGCCGCUGUAUAUGCACUGACGCCUGCCCGGUGCCGGAAGGUUAAGAGGAUCCGUCAGCCCUCGGGCGAAGCGGUGAAUUCAAGCCCCGGUAAACGGCGGUGGUAACAAUAACCAUCCUAAGGUAGCGAAAUUCCUUGUCGGGUAAGUUCCGACCUGCACGAAUGGCGUAACGACUUCCCCACUGUCUCGACCAGGAGCUCGGCGAAAUUGCAGUACGAGUAAAGAUGCUCGUUAAGCGCAGAAGGACGAAAAGACCCCGGGACCUUUACUAUACCUUGGUAUUGGCAUUCGGUGUGGAUUGUGUAGCAUAGGCGGGAGGCUACGAGUCAUGGGCGCCAGCCCGUGAGGAGCCGUCGUUGAAAUACCGCUCUGUUCGCAUUGGAUGUCUAACCUCGAGCAGUCAUCCUGCUCAGGGACAGUGCCUGGCGGGUAGUUUAACUGGGGCGGUUGCCUCCCAAAGAGUAACGGAGGCGCUCAAAGGUUCCCUCAGCCCGGUUGGCAAUCGGGUGGCGAGUGUAAGCGCACAAGGGAGCUUGACUGCGAGACUGACGGGUCGAGCAGGGACGAAAGUCGGAGCUAGUGAUCCGGUGCCGGCGUACGGACGCGGCAUCGCUCAACGGAUAAAAGGUACCCCGGGGAUAACAGGCUGAUCAUUCCCAAGAGUCCAUAUCGACGGGAUGGUUUGGCACCUCGAUGUCGGCUCGUCGCAUCCUGGGGCUGGAGCAGGUCCCAAGGGUUCGGCUGUUCGCCGAUUAAAGCGGCACGCGAGCUGGGUUCAGAACGUCGUGAGACAGUUUGGUCUCUAUCCUCUGCGCUCGUUGGAAUCCUGAGGAGGCCUGCCCAUAGUACGAGAGGACCUGGGUGGACGAACCUCUGGUAUGCCGGUUGUCGCGCCAGCGGCACGGCCGGUUGGCUACGUUCGGAAGGGAUAACCGCUGAAAGCAUCUAAGCGGGAAGCCUGCUCCGAGAUUAGGAUUCCUCGCGGCCUCGGGCCGCGCGACCCCCCAUGUAGAACACGUGGUCGAUAGGCCGGACGUGGAAGCCCCGCAAGGGGUGGAGCUGACCGGUACUAACGGGGGAAAGG